AUGCCCCAACUGGGAGUUCAACCUGAUGUGGUGACCUACACCUCAAUCAUGGACGCACUAAGCAAGUCCGGAGCAAUGGACAAGGCAGAAGUGCUCCUUCGGCAAAUGGUUGAUCAAGGAAUUGAACCCAAUAUCAGGACAUAUAGCUGUCUGAUCCAUGGAUAUUCUACUUUUGGUCAGUGGAAGGAGGCACUUAGGGUAUUCAAAGAAAUGGCAAGUCUUGGUGUUGUACCAGACGUUGUCACAUUGAGCUCAUUAAUCGAUUCCCUUUGCAGGCACAGAAGGACAAAGCAAGCUAGAGAAAUUUUUGACUCUAUGGCUGCAAAGGGCCUGAAACCUAAUAUCGUCUCCUACUCUACUAUGCUUAAUGGGUAUGUCAAAGAAGGAUCCUUCGAGGAUAUGACCGGUCUCUUCAAUUCGAUGGUACGGAAUGGUAUUGUACCUAACCACCAUAUUUUCAACAUACUGAUCAAUGCAUAUGCUAAACGUGGACUGAUGGAUGAGGCUAUGCACAUGUUCGAAGUAAUGAGGCAACAAGGAGUAAACCCAGAUGUAUUUGGCUAUCAAAUCAUAAUGGAUUCACUUUGUAAAAUGGGUAAGAUGGAUGCUGCUCUGGACAAAUUUAAUCAGAUGGUCAAUCAAGGAGUUUCACCUAACAAAGCUGUUUACCAAUGCCUGGUUCUGGGUUCUUGCUCUCAUGGUGAUUUUGUGAAAGCCAAGGAAUUGAUUUCUGAAGCGGUUAAUAGAGGUCUGUGUUCUAACAGUGUGUUCUUCUAUCCUGUAAUAAACGACCGUUGCAAAGAAGGAAAGGUGAAGGACGCACAGGAUAUGUUUGACUUCAUUGUAGGUAUUGGUCAUCGGCCUGAUGUGAUUAUGUACAAUUCACUGAUGGAUGGAUAUUGCCUUGUUGGCAAGGUGGAGGAAGCACUGAGAGUACUUGAUGCUAUGAAGUCUGCUGGCCUCCAACCUGAUGUUUUUACAUAUGGUAUACUUAUUAAUGGCUACUGUAAAAUUGGAAGGAUCGACGACGGAUUGAGUCUUGUCAGGGAAAUUUCACUCAGUGGGGUUAAGCCCACGACUAUUAUGUACAACAUUAUACUUGAUGGGCUGUUUUGCUCUGGGAGAACAGUUCCUGCAAAGGAAAAAUUCCAUAAGAUGAAUGAAAGUGGCAUACCAGUGGGCGUUGGAACAUACAACAUAGUUCUUAGUGGACUUUGUAAAAAUAAUUGCACUGAUGAAGCAAUAGAGCUGUUCAAGAAAUUACGUGCUGUGAACGUGAAGAUUAAUGUCAUAACACUCACUACCAUGGUUUCUGCAAUGUUUAAAACUAGGAGAAUUGAAGAAGCCAAGGAUUUGUUUGUUACUAUAUCAGCCAUUGGGUUGGUGCCUUCUGUUGUGACUUACAGUAUAAUGAUGACAAAUUUCAUAAAAGAAGGGUUGCUUGCAGAUGCUGAUGAUAUGUUUUCAGCAAUGGAGAAGGCUGGCUGUGCUCACAACUCCAGACUGCUAAAUCAAGUGGUCAGGGUAUUUCUGAAGAAUGGUGAAGUUGUAAAGGCUGUGACUUAUCUUGCCAAAUUUGAUGCAAAACAGCUGUCAGUUGAAGCUUCGACGGUUUCGUUAAUAGUAUCUCUCUUCUCAAGGAAAGGGAAAUUAAGGGAGCAUGUAAAAUUGCUUCCGGUAAAGUACCAGCCUCCUGAGAUGUUGGACUGA
rnacentral:rRNA from 1 species